rnacentral:rRNA from 1 species
AUUGAACGCUGGCGGCAGGCUUAACACAUGCAAGUCGAGCGGAGAGAGGUAGCUUGCUACUGAUCUUAGCGGCGGACGGGUGAGUAAUGCUUAGGAAUCUGCCCAUUAGUGGGGGACAACAUUUCGAAAGGAAUGCUAAUACCGCAUACGUCCUACGGGAGAAAGCAGGGGAUCUUCGGACCUUGCGCUAAUAGAUGAGCCUAAGUCGGAUUAGCUAGUUGGUGGGGUAAAGGCCUACCAAGGCGACGAUCUGUAGCGGGUCUGAGAGGAUGAUCCGCCACACUGGGACUGAGACACGGCCCAGACUCCUACGGGAGGCAGCAGUGGGGAAUAUUGGACAAUGGGCGCAAGCCUGAUCCAGCCAUGCCGCGUGUGUGAAGAAGGCCUUAUGGUUGUAAAGCACUUUAAGCGAGGAGGAGGCUACUUUAGUUAAUACCUAGAGAUAGUGGACGUUACUCGCAGAAUAAGCACCGGCGAACUCUGUGCCAGCCGCCGCAGUAACAC